AACUCUGACACAGGUGCUGCAUGGCUGUCGUCAGCUCGUGUCGUGAGAUGUUGGGUUAAGUCCCGUAACGAGCGCAACCCUUGUCCUUAGUUACCAGCACGUUAUGGUGGGCACUCUAAGGAGACUGCCGGUGACAAACCGGAGGAAGGUGGGGAGUGACGUCAAGUCAUCAUGGCCCUUACGGCCUGGGCUACACACGUGCUACAAUGGUCGGUACAAAGGGUUGCCAAGCCGCGAGGUGGAGCUAAUCCCAUAAAACCGAUCGUAGUCCGGAUCGCAGUCUGCAACUCGACUGCGUGAAGUCGGAAUCGCUAGUAAUCGUGAAUCAGAAUGUCACGGUGAAUACGUUCCCGGGCCUU
rnacentral:rRNA from 1 species